rnacentral:rRNA from 1 species
UACGUAGGGGGCAAGCGUUGUCCGGAUUUAUUGGGCGUAAAGAGCGUGUAGGCGGCUUGGUAGGUCCGCUGUGAAAACUCGAGGCUUAACCUCGAGAUGUCGGCGGAAACCACUUGGCUAGAGUCCGGAAGAGGAGAGUGGAAUUCCUGGUGUAGCGGUGAGAUGCGCAGAUAUCAGGAAGAACACCUAUGGCGAAGGCAGCUCUCUGGGACGGUACUGACGCUGAGACGCGAAAGCGUGGGGAGCAAACAGG